GUGCUGUCAUAUAUCAUCAGGCAAUUGCCGGAUAUAUUAUUCGAAAUCACGAAGGUCAGAUGCUUUCUAUAGGGGGCAAACUGCCGCCCCAAUCUACUAUUGUGUUUGCUGACCUUAUAGGAUCUUGGCUAGGGCUUGGUUAUCUUAAAGCUCAUUUUGAUAAUUGGUUUGGCUACAGGGUGAUUGUGCAAUGGUUAUUUCUUAGCUGAAAGCUAUGUCUCUAUAUAGAUUUUCUCUUUCUCCAUGGAUGCAAGACAUCCGGGUAUGGGCUAACUCUUUUAGUUAUUUCAAAGUGUCUCAUAUAUGCCGGGAGGGUAAUCAUGUUGCUGGUGAGGCAGCAAAUUAUGCAUUUGCAGGUGAUAUUUCUAUGCCGUAAAUGAAUUGGAGUUGCAUCCUGAGUUAGCUCAGAUAUUGAUUGCUGAUGCAUAUUCUAUUGCAUAUCUUGGCAUGGACAUUGACAAAAUGUGGAUUACUUUGCUAUCUACUUGUGUUGUUUAUAUAGUCUGCUUUCUACCGAUCAUUCUAUGGUUUUCUUCAUAUGAGGCUUCAAAUGCAAUUAUCUAUCAUUUGGCUUUUCUUUCAAUAUUGGGAAUCUGAAUGCCGUCGAGGCUUUUGUAUUUUCUUAACUAUACAGUGGCUUCAGUUUGUUUACAGUCUAUUCAGGUCUGCUGUCACUUCUUCCUUCUCAUUAGGUGGCCUCAGCU
rnacentral:lncRNA from 1 species